rnacentral:ncRNA from 1 species
UGUCUCCUCCAUCCUCCUUCAUUGGUGGAUUUCAACGCAGCCCGAAACGGCUGCGUUUUUUUUG